rnacentral:rRNA from 1 species
UACAGAGGUCUCAAGCGUUGUUCGGAUUCAUUGGGCGUAAAGGGUGCGUUGGCGGCAGUGCAAGUCAGGUGUGAAAUCCCGGGGCUCAACCCCGGAACUGCACUUGAUACUGCUCUGCUAGAGUACUGGAGAGGAGACUGGAAUUUACGGUGUAGCAGUGAAAUGCGUAGAUAUCGUAAGGAAGACCAGUGGCGAAGGCGAGUCUCUGGACAGUUACUGACGCUGAGGCACGAAGGCCAGGGGAGCAAACGGG